UACGGGGGGGGGCAAGCGUUGUUCGGAAUUACUGGGCGUAAAGGGCGCGUAGGUGGCUGGGUAAGUUGGAUGUGAAAUCCCCGGGCUUAACUUGGGAAUUGCAUUCAAGACUGCCUUGCUAGAGUGUGGAAGAGGGAAGCGGAAUUCCAGGUGUAGCGGUGAAAUGCGUAGAUAUCUGGAGGAACAUCAGUGGCGAAGGCGGCUUCCUGGUCCAACACUGACACUGAGGUGCGAAAGCGUGGGGAGCAAACAGG
rnacentral:rRNA from 1 species